CGGAACGCGCUUCGGCGCACCCAGAAACCCUUUGUGAACUUAUACCUAUUUGUUGCCUCGGCGCAGGCCGGCCUUUUGUGACAAAGGCCCCCUGGAAACAGGGAGCAGCCCGCCGGCGGCCAACUAAACUCUUGUUUCUAUAGUGAAUCUCUGAGUAAAAAACAUAAAUGAAUCAAAACUUUCAACAACGGAUCUCUUGGUUCUGGCAUCGAUGAAGAACGCAGCGAAAUGCGAUAAGUAAUGUGAAUUGCAGAAUUCAGUGAAUCAUCGAAUCUUUGAACGCACAUUGCGCCCUCUGGUAUUCCGGAGGGCAUGCCUGUUCGAGCGUCAUUUCAACCCUCAAGCCUGGCUUGGUGAUGGGGCACUGCCUUCUAACGAGGGCAGGCCCUGAAAUCUAGUGGCGAGCUCGCUAGGACCCCGAGCGUAGUAGUUAUAUCUCGUUCUGGAAGGCCCUGGCGGUGCCCUGCCGUUAAACCCCCAACUUCUGAAAAUUUGACCUCGGAUCAGGUAGGAAUACCCGCUGAACUUAAGCAUAUCAAUAAGCGGAGGA
rnacentral:rRNA from 1 species